UAGGAUAGAGGCCUACCAUGGUGGUAACGGGUAACGGGGUGUUAGGGCACGACACCGGAGAGGGAGCCUGAGAAACGGCUACCACAUCCAAGGAUGGCAGCAGGCGCGCAAAUUACCCAAUCCCGACACGAGGAGGUAGUGACAAUAAAUAACAAUACGGGGUUCUUUCGGAUCUCGUAAUUGGAAUGAGUACAAUUUAAAUCUCUUAACGAGGAACAAUUGGAGGGCAAGUCUGGUGCCAGCAGCCGCGGUAAUUCCAGCUCCAAUAGCGUAUAUUAAAGUUGUUGCAGUUAAAAAGCUCGUAGUUGAAUUUCGGGGUUAGUAGGUUGGUCAUGCCUCUGGUAUGUACUGGUCUCACUGAUUCCUCCUUCCUUAUGAACCGUAAUGCCAUUAAUUUGGUGUUGCGGGGAAUUUGGACUGUUACUUUGAAAAAAUUAGAGUGUUUAAAGCAAGCUAACGCUUGAAUACAUUAGCAUGGAAUAAUGAAAUAGGACGUUCGAUCUUAUUUUGUUGGUUUCUAGGAUUGACGUAAUGAUUAAUAGGGAUAGUUGGGGGCAUUAGUAUUCAAUUGUCAGAGGUGAAAUUCUUGGAUUUAUUGAAGACUAACUACUGCGAAAGCAUUUGCCAAGGAUGUUUUCAUUAAUCAAGAACGAAAGUUAGGGGAUCGAAGACGAUCAGAUACCGUCGUAGUCUUAACCAUAAACUAUGCCGACUAGGGAUCGGAUGA
rnacentral:rRNA from 1 species